rfam:Rattus norvegicus chromosome X, whole genome shotgun sequence.
GGGGAUUUAGCUCAGUGGUAGAGCACUUGCCUAGCAAGCGCAAGGCCCUGGGUUCGGUUCCCAGCUCCG